rnacentral:rRNA from 1 species
GGUCCGCUGAUGAAAGGCGCUCCGGCGUCGCCCAUGGAUGGCUUUGCGGUGCAUUAGCUAGUUGGUGGGGUAACGGCCCACCAAGGCGACGAUGCAUAGCCGACCUGAGAGGGUGAUCGGCCACACUGGGACUGAGACACGGCCCAGACUCCUACGGGAGGCAGCAGUAGGGAAUCUUCCACAAUGGACGAAAGUCUGAUGGAGCAACGCCGCGUGAACGAUGAAGGCUUUCGGGUCGUAAAGUUCUGUUGUAAGGGAAGAACAAGUGCCGCAGGCAAUGGCGGCACCUUGACGGUACCUUGCGAGAAAGCCACGGCUAACUACGUGCCAGCAGCCGCGGUAAUACGUAGGUGGCAAGCGUUGUCCGGAAUUAUUGGGCGUAAAGCGCGCGCAGGCGGCCUCUUAAGUCUGAUGUGAAAGCCCCCGGCUCAACCGGGGAGGGCCAUUGGAAACUGGGAGGCUUGAGUAUAGGAGAGAAGAGUGGAAUUCCACGUGUAGCGGUGAAAUGCGUAGAGAUGUGGAGGAACACCAGUGGCGAAGGCGACUCUUUGGCCUAUA